UGGGGAAUAUUGCACAAUGGGCGCAAGCCUGAUGCAGCCAUGCCGCGUGUGUGAAGAAGGCCUCGGGUUGUAAAGCACUUUCAGCGAGGAGGAAGGUGGUGAGCUUAAUACGCUCAUCAAUUGACGUUACUCGCAGAAGAAGCACCGGCUAACUCCGUGCCAGCAGCCGCGGUAAUACGGAGGGUGCAAGCGUUAAUCGGAAUUACUGGGCGUAAAGCGCACGCAGGCGGUUUGUUAAGUCAGAUGUGAAAUCCCCGGGCUCAACCUGGGAACUGCAUUUGAAACUGGCAAGCUAGAGUCUCGUAGAGGGGGGUAGAAUUUCCAGGUGUAGCGGUGAAAUGCGUAGAGAUCUGGAGGAAUACCGGUGGCGAAGGCGGCCCCCCUGGACGAAGACUGACGCUCAGGUGCG
rnacentral:rRNA from 1 species